rnacentral:rRNA from 1 species
UGACUCUGCGAGAAGUCCAUUGAACCUUAUCAUUUAGAGGAAGGAGAAGUCGUAACAAGGUUUCCGUAGGUGAACCUGCGGAAGGAUCAUUGUUGAUAUCGAAAAUAUAUCGAGUUAUUCGAAAAACCUGUUAAAUAAGCGCUGGCAUCUGUCAUCGUACAAAAUUCAUCCCCCUUGUUGCCCCAUCUCCCUAGGAUCUGUCGCCAUAACGGAGGAUGAAAAACAAAAUUCAAACCGGCGCAGCUCCGCGCCAAGUACACAUCGAAAACACGUGAAGCCUUAUAUUGGGUUUUUAGUGAUGGAGUGCGUCUCAUUCCAUAUAUCAACAUGACUCUCGGCAAUGGAUAUCUCGGCUCUUGCAUCGAUGAAGAGCGCAGCGAAAUGCGAUACGUGAUGCGAAUUGCAGAAUCCCGUGAACCAUCGAGUCUUUGAACGCAAGUUGCGCCCGAGGCCAAUCGGCUAAGGGCACGUUCGCCUGGGCGUCAAGCAUUGCAUCGCUCCGCGCUAGCUCCAUCCCAUCCGUGGAUGUGUUGCUGGAUAUAGCCCGAAUGCGUAGAAUGACUCCCCGUGCUUAUGGUGCGGCGGGUUGAAAAGUGUGGUUUUGUCUCGCUUGGCCGUGAGCAACAAGGGGUGGAUGACGGAAAUACCUAAUGUUGUUUGUGCCGGCCUAACAAGAGACGGACUUCUCAUUUAAUCCAAACCCAUGCGUUGGUCCAAAGACGACGACAUGGAAUGCGACCCCAGGACGGGCGAGGCCACCCGCUGAGUUUAAGCAUAUCAAUAAGCG